CCAUAGAGGGACUGCGGAGACAUUA
rnacentral:rRNA from 1 species